UACGGAGGGUGCAAGCGUUAAUCGGAAUUACUGGGCGUAAAGCGUGCGCAGGCGGUUUGUUAAGUCUGCUGUGAAAUCCCCGGGCUCAACUUGGGAAUUGCAGUGGAUACUGGCAGGCUGGAGUAUGGUAGAGGAAGGUGGAAUUCCCGGUGUAGCAGUGAAAUGCGUAGAGAUCGGGAGGAACAUCAGUGGCGAAGGCGGCCAUCUGGGACAACACUGACGCUGAAGCACGAAAGCGUGGGGAGCAAACAGG
rnacentral:rRNA from 1 species